GAUGAAGAACGUAGCGAAAUGCGAUAAGUAAUGUGAAUUGCAGAAUUCAGUGAAUCAUCGAAUCUUUGAACGCACAUUGCGCCCAUUAGUAUUCUAGUGGGCAUGCCUGUUCGAGCGUCAUUAAGUCCACUUAAGCCUAGCUUAGUGUUGGGAGACUGCUCCAGUGGUGCUACCCUGUAGCUACCCUGCAGCUCCUUAAAGACAGCGGCGGAGUCGUGUUAUCCUCUGAGCUUAGUAAAGCAUUCUAGCUUUCGAGAGUAUCACUUCACCUGCCGUUAAACCACCUAAUUUUUAUGGUUGACCUCGGAUCAGGUAGGAAUACCCGCUGAACUUAAGCAUAUCAAUAAGCGGAGGA
rnacentral:misc_RNA from 1 species